UGGGCGUAUAGCUCAGCUGGUUUAGAGCGCACGCCUGAUAAGCGUGAGGUCGAUGGUUCGAGUCCAUUUAUGCCCAU
rnacentral:tRNA from 1 species